rnacentral:rRNA from 1 species
CCGGACGCACGGGUGAGUAACACGUAUGCAACCUGCCCGUCUCAGGGGGAUAAUCGUCGGAAACGGCGUCUAAUACCCCGUAUGAAGCUGGACGGCAUCGUCUGGUUUUGAAAGAAUAUCGGAGACGGAUGGGCAUGCGGCGCAUUAGCUAGUUGGCGGGGUAACGGCCCAUCAAGGCGACGAUGCGUAGGGGUUCUGAGAGGAAGGUCCCCCACACUGGUACUGAGACACGGACCAGACUCCUACGGAAGGCAGCAG